UACGUAGGGGGGGAGCGUUGUCCGGAAUGACUGGGCGUAAAGGGAGUGUAGGCGGCUCUUUAAGUUAUAUGUGAAAUCCCGCGGCUUAACCGUGGAAGUGCAUAUAAAACUGGGGAGCUGGAGUGCAGGAGAGGUGAGUGGAAUUCCUAGUGUAGCGGUGGAAUGCGUAGAUAUUAGGAAGAACACCGGUGGCGAAGGCGGCUCACUGGACUGUAACUGACGCUGAGGCUCGAAAGCGUGGGGAGCAAACAGG
rnacentral:rRNA from 1 species